GAGUAGGGUUAGGGUUUGGUUAGGAAUAGGGUUAGGGUAGGGUUAGGGUUAGGAGUAGGGUUAGGGUAGUGUUGGGUUAGGAAUAGGGUUAAGGUUAGGGUAGGGUUACCUCUACCCCUAACCCUACUCCUAACCCAACCCUAACCUUAACUCAACCCUAACCCUAGUCCUAACACUAACCCUCCUCCUAACCCAACCCUAACCCUACUCCCAACCCUAACCCUACUUCUAACCCAACCCUACUCCUAACCGUACUCCUAACCCUACUC